UGGGGAAUUUUGGACAAUGGGCGAAANCCUGAUCCAGCAAUGCCGCGUGUGUGAAGAAGGCCUUCGGUUGUAAAGCACUUUUGUCCGGAAAGAAAUCCUUGGCUCUAAUACAGUCGGGGGAUGACGGUACCGGAAGAAUAAGCACCGGCUAACUACGUGCCAGCAGCCGCGGUAAUACGUAGGGUGCAAGCGUUAAUCGGAAUUACUGGGCGUAAAGCGUGCGCAGGCGGUUUGCUAAGACCGAUGUGAAAUCCCCGGGCUCAACCUGGGAACUGCAUUGGUGACUGGCAGGCUAGAGUAUGGCAGAGGGGGGUAGAAUUCCACGUGUAGCAGUGAAAUGCGUAGAGAUGUGGAGGAAUACCGAUGGCGAAGGCAGCCCCCUGGGCCAAUACUGACGCUCAUGCACGAAAGCGUGGGGAGCAAACAGGAUUAGAUACCCUGGUAGUCCACGCCCUAAACGAUGUCAACUAGUUGUGGGGAUCAUUUCCUUAGUAACGUAGCUAACGCGUGAAGUUGACCGCCUGGGGAGUACGUCGCAAGAUUAAAACUCAAAGGAAUUGACGGGGUCAUAGCUGUUUCCU
rnacentral:rRNA from 1 species